CUUAACAUUUUUCUACAGCUGAAGAAAAAUGUAAAAUAUCACACGUAGCAGGGUCCUGCUGCUCAUGCCUACUACUCAGCUCACACAUGCAGCUCUCCAUGCGAGUGCUAGACAACACCUGAACUGGUCUAUGUCCUUUACAACAGAUCCCAUGCUUGAUGUUGCAACAAUAUCAAAUUACUGAGACCUUUCUGAAUUUGGGACUUGAUCUUGGAGGCAAUAUCAGACAGCGUUGCUAAGAAAGACUGGUUGGUGCAUGAAAAUAAAGACAAACAUGUAACC